rnacentral:rRNA from 1 species
AUCCUGGGGCUGUAGUCGGUCCCAAGGGUUGGGCUGUUCGCCCAUUAAAGCGGUACGCGAGCUGGGUUCAGAACGUCGUGAGACAGUUCGGUCCCUAUCCGUCGUGGGCGUAGGAAAUUUGAGAGGAGCUGUCCUUAGUACGAGAGGACCGGGAUGGACAUACCUCUGGUGUACCAGUUGUCGUGCCAACGGCAUAGCUGGGUAGCUAUGUGUGGACGGGAUAAGUGCUGAAAGCAUCUAAGCAUGAAGCCCCCCUCAAGAUGAGAUUUCCCAACUUCGGUUAUAAGAUCCCUCAAAGAUGAUGAGGUUAAUAGGUUCGAUGUGGAAGCAUGGUGACGUGUGGAGCUGACGAAUACUAAUCGAUCGAAGACUUAAUCAAAA